rnacentral:tRNA from 2 species
GGUUCCUUAGCUCAGUUGGCAGAGCAACUGACUCUUAAUCAGUGGGUCGUCGGUUCGAGCCCGACAGGAACCA